rnacentral:rRNA from 1 species
GUCGAGAAUCUUUCACAAUGGGGGCAACCCUGAUGGAGCGACGCCGCGUGGAGGAUAAGGUCUUCGGAUUGUAAACUCCUGUCAUGCGUGAACAAGGUUGCUUGGUUAAUACCUGGGCAAAUUGAUGGUAACGCAAGAGGAAGAGACGGCUAACUCUGUGCCAGCAGCCGCGGUAAUACAGAGGUCUCAAGCGUUGUUCGGAAUCACUGGGCGUAAAGGGUGAGUAGGUGGCGUGGUAAGUCAGAUGUGAAAGCCCGGGGCUCAACCUCGGAACUGCAUCCGAUACUGCCAUGCUAGAGUACUGGAGAGGUGACUAGAAUUCUCGGUGUAGCAGUGAAAUGCGUAGAUAUCGAGAGGAAUACCAAAGGCGUAGGCAGGUCACUGGACAGUUACUGACACUGAGGCACGAAGGCCAGGGGAGCGAACGGGAUUAGAAACCCGGGUAGUCC